UCCUAGGAUAAUACAUGAAGGGCGAACAAUCUAGCAAGGUAAUGUUCUAUACUUCAUAUUGUCACAUGGCAAUAGCGUCAAGACUGAUUAAAUAUUAGUCUACACAUCAGGCCAUCAUGGUUAGAUUCAGUAUGAUGGGAACCUUUACAAUUCACUUUGAUGAGGCUAAAAUGGAGAUUAUGCAACCUACAGUAAACUUAUUUACUUUUAUGAAGGCAUGCAUAUAGCGAUUUUACUGGAUAUUUUGAGCAAUAAGGAUCCAUGUUGUGUGUAGCCUUCAAACUUUUCUUACAAGUUUUAUGGAAUGAUGGCACUGUUCAUGUAUCAAAAAGCUUAUUCCUCUAUUAAACGUGUCACGACAGUUGGCAUCCUCCAUUUGAUACAAUAUAUAUGUUUCUGUUUCCUUCUUACCAAAGCAUAUGCACUAAUGACCUUAGUGUCACCAUCAUUUUCUUCACCUUUUGUACAGAUCCACCAGGGACGAUUCAUGCCACAUCUGGACGUCAGUUCACUAAACAAAUUAUACCCUCAUGCAUCUAUAUUUCUCUUCCAUUUUUCUAUUGUGCAUGGUUAUACAUUGAGAUGUUAAUAUAGUGAGAUAUAUACUUAUAUAAGGAUGUUCGGUACCUUGCUAUUUUUUCAAUGCUAACCCUGAUUUAUGAGCUUCGACAGGUACACUUUUCUGAACUCUUACUAGCUUUUGUGAUUAGAGUAUUUGGAUUACAUACAUAUUAUUAAGCCUGUUACCGAUUCUCUCUAGCAUUUUGUGAAAUACUUCUUAGUUUGACUUCUCCCGAGGAAACUUGGAAGGGAGAGAGGUUUAGAUGUUCUGUGUUCAGCAGGUUAACUGCACUUACAUGAUAUUGGUAUCUCUAUUCAAUGUCUUUUGAUAAUGAGGAUUGCAGAUUAUUUGCAAUUUCCAAUUCGAUAGUGGGACUUGCAAGUUGGUACCAUUGGCUAUCAACUAAACUGGUAUUGUUUUUGCUCUGGAUGAUAUCUUGGUCACUACAUGCAAAUAUUUUGUAGACAGCAAUUGUCUGUUCAGAGUGUCACUAUAACUUCUGCAUUCUUCUACAGUGACACUUCAUGUUGAGUGCACAUGAUUUAUCACUGCAUGUUCUAUUUGUUUUGCAGGUCACAGAUUAUGCGUACUCUUUUAAAGUCAUUUUCUUAUGCUAAUUCUGCUAAUAGGAUGGUGUUUUUAUUCUGGUAUUCAUGUUAUCAGGAUAUUUAGCUUAUUUCAGUUUGAGGAGAAAUAAGCUAACUGACCAUGUCAUUGUUUAUUAGGACAGUGUACUAUUGACCUCAACUAGAUAUGCAAGAAAUGAUUUAGGACAUGUGAUUUUAUGUAUGGAUUUCCACAACAAGAAACUCUUUCAAUUUCUUCAUUAUAGAUACAAACUAUGAUUUUGAGCUCAGUAAACAACUGAACAUAUUGAUAGUUCAUGAGCAUUUCUCUGAUUG
rnacentral:lncRNA from 1 species